rnacentral:rRNA from 1 species
UACAGAGGUCCCAAGCGUUGUUCGGAUUCACUGGGCGUAAAGGGUGCGUAGGUGGUCAGGUAAGUCGGAUGUGAAAUCUCCGAGCUCAACUCGGAAACUGCAUUGGAAACUACCUGGCUCGAGGGUUGGAGGGGGGACUGGAUUGCUUGGUGUAGCAGUGAAAUGCGUAGAUAUCAAGCGGAACACCAGUGGCGAAGGCGAGUCCCUGGACAACUCCUGACACUGAUGCACGAAAGCUAGGGGAGCAAACAGG